GUUAACGACACUUUCUUCAGGGAUAAAUUUCACACUACCAGUUUUAGCUACAAGAAAAACUGAAACAUCAACUAUCGGAAGAAAUGAUAACAAUACCGCCAGGAUCAGCUCACUGCAAUCUUUCUUAUCUCCUGGGCUGGAAAUAGCUGCAGCUCUUAUCUAGACUAACAUUCUGCUGAUAGCAACGAGGGUAGUCACUGACUGGGUACUGAGGACCUACUAACUCUAUGCACCAGGCUCCCUUACCUCAGCUGUGCAGCUCCUCUCAGCCACCCAAGCCUUCCCGACUCCAUCUGCACAUACUGUAUUGUCUACAAUACAGCGAGCAACUUUACAUGAAUGGUGGCAGACUAUACAUACUGCUCUGCAACUCACUUUUUUCUUUUAACAAAAUAACUCGAAGAGUUGUUUCAUUUUGGUAUGUCAUAAGCCCACCUCCUUUUUAUUAGAUGAAAAAUAUUUCAUUGUAUGAACACACUAUAAUGUAGUUUUUCAGCCCUGGAAGAAAACAUAUUUUAGUCACUCAAUCUUAGCAACGUAUAUGACCCCACGCAGGCACCGGUUGACGCUGUAAGGCAGUGAGAUUCUGCUACCCAGAAACCUCAGAGUUGCCGCUGGGAUCUGAGUGGAGGAUCACACAAAAUUUGUGGGUUAAAUUCUUUUUUCUGGUGUACAUAAGAAUAUGUGAGCACAAGUAUAAAAAGGCCAGACGUCAUCAUCAGGUAUCUAAUUGAACUACCUCUCUCUCUCUCUCUCUCUCUCAUUUAGUGGCAUAUUUGAGAUGGUUUGUUUAUUUAUUUGCUAUUUAUUGAGACAGUCUCUUACCAGCCUGGAGCUCAUCAAUUUGGCUGGCCUCGCUAGCCAAUGCUCUCCAGAAGCCAUCUGUCCCUGCCUCCCUAGUGUGGUGGUUACAGGUACACACCAUAGCUCCUGGAUUUUAUAUGGGGGCUCAAGUUUGUGUGACAAAUACUUCACUGACAGAGCCUCUCCCCUGGAUUUAAUCCCCCCUACAUCACAAUUGUAUUCUUCCUGCCGGCAGUAGACAAUGACUUCUGUCAUAGCUUACUGAUAAGAUACUUUUCUAAUAUAUGCACUUAAACAUUUCUAAACGAGGACACCUCACAAUCUCUAACACCGGAUGUCUGAAUUACUGUUGGCCAGGUGGCAGUGUGCUCGCUACUUCUGGUGGUGUGCUGACAUCCGACUGCCAGGCCAUCUCUGUCAAACCACUGAAGGAAGGCAUGGGAACCGGAAGUGAGAAGGCCUCUCAUGACGCCAUCUGGUGAGACCGGGACAGUGCAAGGACGGGAACCUGCGCGCGGCCUCAGUGCUGCUGAAGAAACCAAGGAAGGCUGUGUCAUCAAAGCCACCCACUCUCUUUCCGGCCAAAGGACAAUUGUCCACGUAGGAGGGACACACAACUGGUCUGAUGACUAAAUCAAAAGCUGAUCCAGAAGAGCCAGGGUUUUUAAGUCCUAAAGAAAAAUAAGUGAGACAAUUCAUUUCCAGGACUAUACAGAUGCAGUUAUUUGGACCCAACCCUGGAACAGAAUAUUUUAAAAAUCUUUUGGAAAGCUUAAAAAAGAGGGAAUGAGAUUAGGUUCUCCAAACACUAUUUAAUGUAAAGGGAUCAAUAACCCUAACAGAUGAGUCCAACUCUCUGCUGUUAUCCCAGCCCUACAGUUUAUUCUACCACAGAGAGAUGUAGACCAGAGCAAUAUAGGAGGAAUUUGACAUCCUGCAAUCAGUCGGUGUAAUUUGGGAGAGGAUGUCUUUUAACUGACAUAUCAAGGACAGAGGUCAGUGAGAUACUAAACAUCUAUAAUGCAUGAGCAGCUUCCUUUCUGGAAAUGAUCCUGACGAAGCAGCGUCACUUCUGAUGCUGAGAGAACCCGCUGGAAGGAGGAUCACAGGAUUGUAACAGGAAAGACAGGAGAUCUUAUGUGGUACUGGCAGUGUUCAUCUUCUUCAAUCUAAUUGUUGUUACAGGGAUAUUUGCUCUAUAACCCUAUGUAUGUGUGAGUGUGUGCUUAAUUCACUUUUGUGUAUGUAUAUU
rnacentral:lncRNA from 1 species